AUUGCUAUAAAAUUGAAUUUUGCUAAAAAUGAUCUAAAAUUUUGCAUGGAAUGUUUCUAUCAAUAAACAAUCUUACAUAUAAAUUUUGGUCCAAAAAUUCAAAAGGAUGCACCUUGGUUCUUCAUUUUUUUCACAUUGCAUCUUUAUUUUGGAACCAUCUAGGUAGAUCUCUCAGAAACCAUCCAACCCCAUGAACCAAAUGUGACAUGUUUUUUUUGUUUGAACUUAAAUUAUUUUUUUAUGGGUGUUCUAUAGCAAUAGGGCAGUGUCCACACCAAAUUUGACAAUGUUUUGAGAAAAAUUGAAUUUUAUAGAAUUUUUAUAGCACAGAAACCACACAUAAUGACAGUUAAUCAUAGAAAUUAGGGU
rnacentral:lncRNA from 1 species